GGUGGUGGACGCUGGUCUGGUGAGGCAAUAGGGAAUCGUGUCGCAGGAAAUCGCUUAUCGGCAAUCCUAAUGAUCUCUCGUAAUCGCAGACAAAGGCAAUCCGAGUCGAGGGGGAAACUGCGAUUCGAUGAGCGGAGAAUAAACGCGAUUUAAAUAAAAAAUUGACAUAAAAUUACUAUUAUUAAGUUUCGCUGAAGUUGGUGAUAUUUUUUUUCUAUAUAUUUAGUCGAGACAUGGAAUUAUACUUUGUUGCUGAAUGACGGACUUUCGAAGGAGGGAUUAAACAUUCCGUUUAUCACGAAGAUUUCAGCUUAAUCUUUUGUAGAGAAGAUGGGCGACUGGGGCGGCGGCUACAACAGCGACGGCAACAGCAGCGACGGCGGGGGGCGGUGGGGGGCGGAGGGGGCUACGGCUGGGACGACAAGGACAACAGCAGCCGCAGCAGUGAGGAGAGGAACCGCUACUGGCGCAAGUCGAGCAGCAGUUCGAGCAGCAACAAGGACGCCUACGCCACCUACACGAAGGAGGACGGCGUCUCCCUCAAGGACGGGGGCGGGGGCGGGUGGGGCUUCGACGACGACGACAACGACGACCGCAACAAGGACGACGACGCCAAGAGCAACAGCAGCAGCGGCGGCAAGACCUUCGACAUCUUCAAGCACAGCCUCGAGUGGAACGACGGCGAGCAGGAGUUCAAGGACGAGGAGAUCAACCUCAGCGUCGACUCGGACCUCAACGGGGAGGAGGAGGGGAGGGGCUACUACAGCAGGCCCCGAAGGAAGUCCAGCAGCGACAGCAGCGGCCGCCGCCAUCACAAGGGCAAGAGGAGGAGCUCGUCCUCCAGUUCGAGCGAGAGGGACCGGCGGAGCGACCGGGAGUGGCGCAAGAGCAGACACGAGCAGUACUACCCGGACGUCGUCAAGUUCGACUCGUCCGAGAAGGCCAGUUGGUGCUGCUGCAUCGUCAUAUGAACUGAUGCGACACAGAAGAAGAAACAGAAUAAGAAACAGAGUCGAAUCCGUCGAAAUGCAACGUUUUUGAGCUGCUCAAAGCGGUCGCCUUUUUCUUAGCAUCUUUCAGCAUCAAACUCUGAAUCAAAUAUAGACGAUAUUAGCGGUAAAACUGAUGUAAAACUGAAGUCGCCAAGAACCACUUUUACAGUAAUAUAAAACAGUACCAACCCCUUGGUUCCAAGAAGUUGCGUAUGUCCAUAUCUGUUUAACAACCACUUGAUGUUUAAGUGGGACUUAAAUCUUGCACGUCAAAAAAAUAGAAAAAAGAAAGAAAGAAAGACAGGAAUUAAAAUUGGCUUCAUAUAAAAAAAACGAGUAAAAAAACCGAAAAGGUCAAAGAACGUGACCUUGCAACAGCACCUUUCACAAACCAAAGCCAAACAAAAAGAUAAUCGUCUUGUUAGAAUGUCACACGAAAACAUAUCUUUUAAAGGAUAAUCAUACAUUAACUAAGAUACAACAUAUCACAGCCAAAGCCUACAAACUUCGAUUAGAGGUCAUAUUCUAACGGGUCAGAUAUCAACAAAAGACUUGGCCUCCUUUCACAGGUCAAGUCCUGACGGGUCAUACUCUUAGAUAUGAGUAGAUAAGGCUUACUAGACUUUUAUAGCCAGAAGACAUGUUUUUACUUAUUUAUUUAUCUUUUUUUUUUUGCUUGCAAAUUGAGUUCCCUAAAAUUUCUGUAAAUGUGAAUAGCUAUUGUUAAAUUCAAAGCUUAUUGGGGCUUGAUAGACAGAUGAAGAGAUAUAUUUCUUUAACCUGAGGACUCUGGUUUGACCCGCAACGGGUCAAAGUGUGACCCCAAAACCACUGAAAUGAAUAUUUAUAUCUGUGGAUAUUAGAACUGCAUGGGAAGGCCAUGGGUAGCAACGAGGCUGCACAGCCUUCGAACAAAACAAAAAUAAUAAUAAAAUAAAUAAAUAAAAACUAUGCUAAACAGAUCCUCGGUUACUAUGCUUGUGGUAAAAGUAAAUAAAGAAUUAAUGGGUACUCGCCAAGCUUUUUAAGUUGAUAUUGCAUGUUGUUGCUUCGUUAGAUCUAAAUGAAAAAAAAAAAAACGAGUAUAUACUGCAUUUGUAUUUAAAGGCAUUUGUACUGUACGUUCUUCACUCUUUUUGUAUAACGCUGAGCUAAUCUGAACCUUUUACUGCCAUAGGGAAUUUCAUCAUUGUUUCGCGUCAAGACUUGUGGACUUUUCAACACAAUGGCUUAUGAGAUGUGUUCAUGUGGAAUAAUAAAUAAUAAUAAAGUAUGUUGACUUAA